GAUGAACGCUGGCGGCGUGCCUAAUACAUGCAAGUCGAGCGAACAGACGAGGAGCUUGCUCCUCUGACGUUAGCGGCGGACGGGUGAGUAACACGUGGAUAACCUACCUAUAAGACUGGGAUAACUUCGGGAAACCGGAGCUAAUACCGGAUAAUAUAUUGAACCGCAUGGUUCAAUAGUGAAAGACGGUUUUGCUGUCACUUAUAGAUGGAUCCGCGCCGCAUUAGCUAGUUGGUAAGGUAACGGCUUACCAAGGCAACGAUGCGUAGCCGACCUGAGAGGGUGAUCGGCCACACUGGAACUGAGACACGGUCCAGACUCCUACGGGAGGCAGCAGUAGGGAAUCUUCCGCAAUGGGCGAAAGCCUGACGCAGCAAUGCCGCGUGAGUGAUGAAGGUCUUCGGAUCGUAAAACCCUGUUAUUAGGGAAGAACAACUGUGUAAGUAACUAUGCACGUCUUGACGGUACCUAAUCAGAAAGCCACGGCUAACUACGUG
rnacentral:rRNA from 1 species